rnacentral:tRNA from 1 species
AUGCUUGUGGUGUAGUGGUUAUCACAUCCGCCUAACACGCGGAAGGUCCCAGGUUCGAUCCCUGGCAGGCACA